rnacentral:rRNA from 1 species
GAUCCUGGCUCAGGAUGAACGCUAGCUACAGGCUUAACACAUGCAAGUCGAGGGGCAGCAUGAACUUAGCUUGCUAAGUUUGAUGGCGACCGGCGCACGGGUGAGUAACACGUAUCCAACCUGCCGAUGACUCGGGGAUAGCCUUUCGAAAGAAAGAUUAAUACCCGAUGGCAUAGUUCUUCCGCAUGGUCGAACUAUUAAAGAAUUUCGGUCAUCGAUGGGGAUGCGUUCCAUUUAGG